rnacentral:rRNA from 1 species
UACGUAGGGGGCAAGCGUUGUCCGGAAUCAUUGGGCGUAAAGAGCGCGUAGGCGGUCCGGUAAGUCCGCUGUGAAAGUCAAGGGCUCAACCCUUGAAUGCCGGUGGAUACUGUCGGGCUAGAGUCCGGAAGAGGCGAGUGGAAUUCCUGGUGUAGCGGUGAAAUGCGCAGAUAUCAGGAGGAACACCAAUGGCGAAGGCAGCUCGCUGGGACGGUACUGACGCUGAGGCGACGAAAGCGUGGGGAGCAAACAGG